rnacentral:misc_RNA from 1 species
GUUGAUUACAGGGUCGGAUUCAUGACGAACAGCCCUAGUGGGAAGAAUUCCAGAGUAAUCCAAGAUGACAGACAAAGGCGAACGGAAGAAAUUGAGGGAAGGGAGCGAGAGGCCAAAUCUGGAGGAGGUACGAGCAGUUGUGGGUGAAGAAGAAUUGGAGUAAGGAUCGGAAUUGGAAGGCGAGGUCUCCAUUUUCAGAGAGGCCCAAGUGACCAAAAGCCCUAAUCUUCGACCUUCCCCCUCCUAUGAAAAGCUAACCUAUCUUCCUCACCU